GCGUGUGUGAAGAAGGCCUUCGGGUUGUAAAGCUACUUUCAGUCGUGAGGAAGGUAGUGUAGUUAAUAGCUGCAUUAUUUGACGUUAGCGACAGAAGAAGCACCGGCUAACUCCGUGCCAGCAGCCGCGGUAAUACGGAGGGUGCGAGCGUUAAUCGGAAUUACGUGGGACGUAAAGCGCAUGCAGGUGGUUUGUUAAGUCAGAUGUAGAAACGGCCCCGGGGCUCAACCUCGGAAUAGCUAUUUAGAAACGUGGCAGACUAGAGUACUGUAGAGGGGGUAGAAUUUCAGGUGUAGCGGUGAAAUGCGUAGAGAUCUGAAGGAAUACCGGUGGCGAAGGCGGCCCCCUGGACAGAUACUGACACUCAGAUGCGAAAGCGUGGGGAGCAAACAGGAUUAGAUACCCUGGUAG
rnacentral:rRNA from 1 species